rnacentral:rRNA from 1 species
AUGGUACUUGGUAGUGAAACCUCUACACUUUUCUGGGUGGACAGAUGGCUGGAUGGGAAGCCCAUUUUUGAGAUUGCGCCGGAGCUCCCAAAGCUUGUCUCCGGGCACAUUCAGAAGCGGCGGACAGUCUGUGAAGCCCUCCCGGACAAACGUUGGAUUUCCGACAUGCGAGCUUUUGGCGACCUCGCAUUAUGGCAGUAGAUCCAGUUGUGGAGACAGGUCCAUGGGGUGCAGCUCGACACCACCCCGGACAGGUUUCUCUAG